CCUCUUCCCUCGCCGCCCGGGCCCGCCCUGGCCGAUUACAGCGGCCUGGCCACCUCGGGAGCACGCCGUCUCUUCCCGACGUGCAGCCCCAGGCCCGGCCCUGUCCCCGGGUGACUGCUCCCCGGCAGGACCGCGCAUCUGUGUGCGGCAGGCCCAGCUGAGGGCUCGGGGGAGGGUUCGGCCUUGCCCUCAAAGAGCUCCCUCUCCUGCAGGGUGAGCGCAGAGCGGCGGGCGGGAGCACACUGCGUGUGCUGAGGGCGGACUGGUCUUAGCGGGAGGGAAGCCUCACGAACCUGUACACUUGGAGGAGCCCUAAGCGUUAGGAUCUGCUGCGAGGGCUGCCUGGAAUGGAGGUGGGAGGAUACAAGUGGCCCGGGGCAAGCAUAGUGAAUCACUGGCUAAACUGGCCUUCGAGGUAGUGAAAGGAAAAAAGGGAAAUGAAGCUGACUGCGGCUGAAUGUAGUAGGUCGUGAAGGCCAAAUGAGCGAUCUGAUUUUUAUUCUAGAAGCAGAGGAGAAACAGUAAAGAUUUUUGAGGAGACUAUAAUCAGGCUUGUAUCAUUAAUUCAUCAGACGUUUAUGGACCACCAAACGUCCCUGCACUCACGGGGCUUGCAGUCUCUCUGGCUUAAUCAUUUACUCUGGCAGUCAGUGUGAGGAGGGCACAGGAAGGAGACCAGGUGACAAAGCCAGCCUGACCAAAGAUGUGGCAACUGAUGGGAUUGGAAGAGGCGGACAAUGUCGAGCUUUCCUCCAGACAGCUGGACUGGCUCUCUAUAUAUUUGUUUAUCUAUUCUACACCCCCAGCCCCCACCUCCACACUCACUAACUGGACUCAACUAGUGGGUGCAAAGGACGGACUAGAUUUUAGUGAAAUGGAAUUUCUACCUCCAGCGGCCUCUGGAACAGGAGCACACAACGAUCUAAUAACUGCUUGCAGGAUUGGAUUUUCCCUGGCUGCAACUAGAAUCAACUGGGGAGCUUUUAAAAUAUCAGUGCCUGGCUCUCACCUCCAGAUUGAUGCUAGAUGGUUGUUCUCAAUGGGAAGAGGCCGAAGCAUGUUUAUAUGCUGUGUGGAGAGAGACAAUGGGAUCCAGCAUACACAUGAAGAGAGUAGCCUCUGGCUAAGGAGAACGGAAAUAGACAACCCUAUGAAAUAGCCAUUGUUACCGACCCCAGGAAUAAGAAAACAAAGGCAUAGAGAAGUGAACUAACUUGCUCAAGGCCACACACCUGGUAAGUCGCACAGCUAGGAUUUGAACUGGAGCAGUCUGGCACAAGAACCUGCUUUUUAAACCAAAAUGUUAUUUUAUACUACUUCUCCAAAGACAAAUCAUAAUAGUAAUAAUAACAGUAGCACUACCAUUUAUGGUGUUUAUGAUGGGCUAGAUGCUAUAGUAUGCCAGGCACACACAUUAUCUUGUUUAAGAUCACUCAGCUCUCAGGUGGAAGAGCUGGGAUUCAAACUUCAGGAUGCUUGAACCUGGGAGACAAUAAAGUGCACCAGGAGCUAGAAUAAGUUUGUACAAGGUACAAAUGUGAAGCAUAAAAGAGGACGUAAUUAAUCUUACCUGGUGGGAAUAGUGUUGAGUUGUGGGUUACUAAAAAACUUCACAUAGGGGUGACUUUUUUUUUUUUUUUUUUGAGACAAGGUCUGGCUCUGUUGCCCAGGCUGGAGUGCAGCGGCACAAUCACAGCUCACUG